rnacentral:tRNA from 1 species
UUGACUGUGGCUUAGCUGGUUAAAGCGCCGGUAUAGCGAAUUCGCACUCGUGGGUUCGAAUCCCACCAGAAAAC